ensembl:lncRNA
AUUUAAUGAUUUUUUGAUCAUAACAGCUCUUCAAUGUAUAUGUUAAAAUAUAAUUAUUAUGAUUAUUAACAAUAAUAGUUUCACCCUCAAGAGAGCAGUGCAGCAGAAACCUUUUGCCUUAUGUGAUUUUGUGUGAAUUUACAAUUUUGUCCGCUUGCCUAACAGUUUACAUUGCAUUAUUACAUUUGUAUUCAUACACUGUCAUGUCAUUUGACCAAUUAAUUAAAUAAUAAUACAGACUGCAAAUUAAACUUAAUACACAGCUGUGUUAACUCGCGCAAACUAUUGCUAUUGUUAUUGGUUGUUUCGCCGUUUUACUUUGAGCAUGAUUGGUUAAUCUGUCUGUUUUACAGGAAACUGUCCAAUGAGAAUGUGCGCGGCUCUGCGCGCCUAUUUUAAAUUUGAAAAUAUGUCCGUUACUCUCGGUCGGAGCAGCUGCUUUGCGUUGAUUACUCGGUUAGACCUGGAUUAUUUUAUAUCUGCCUGUUGAAUUCUUACAUUUUGAGCGAAUAUUAGUUGAUAUGACAAUGAAGAUCAAAAGCUGGAAUGUGAACAGAGGAGGGGGUCGUACGUGGUCUGUAAAUACUGGCGAUAUCAGAUCAAGCUUUGUAAUACGAUUUUUAUCGGGGGAGAACACCCAACAGAAAGACCCAUGAUUCACCAACUGGCGCACUGAAAGGGGAGAUUCAUGUCACCUUCAUCAGUCCUUUCUUUAAUCACUGGACACCAUUAAGGGAAAGACCCUCAGACGUGUCAUAAUAGGAUAAAUGCGGCUGCAGGACAAGGCCUGGUGAGAGCCACUACAGAGGAUCAUAGCCAUUGUUGGAAUUCUGAAAGGACGUGGGUGAAUAUCAAUCUGCCAAAUGAAC